CAAUCAAAACCUUGCGUUUAAUUUAAAAUAAUACAAUUCAUAAAUAACAAAAAAUCAUAAAAUAAAUUAAUUGAAGUCCAAAAGGAGAGUCUUUGGCCAUGCACAACAAUAAAUAAUGUGCUACUUGUUCUUUCACCUGUAACCUUUCAACCCUCAGUUGUGAAAGGCAAAAUGGCAGCGUCCAUACCAGGCAUUUGAAUGAUUUUAUGCCGUGUCUAUCCUUUACUUUUACUUACUUUUCGGCAGAAUAAGGUAUUUGACAUUUAUUUUCUAUAGUGUGUCAGAUAAGUGAAAGCUAGGACUUCCGCUGCACACAUACGUUACACAGAUUAUCAGAUCACGAAACAGUGACCGAGCUAACGUUACCGUCGGUUAAUGAACACAGUGAAGUUACAGCUUUAGCUAGCAACAUAGUGAACUACAUACCAGUACCUGACUUUGUGUACUGCGUAUGCAUAUUGCAUCUUCACUGUACAUCAUCCAAUGCAACCCCCGUAAUAUGUUUCACAUAGAACCAUAGUCUAUGCAAAUGUAUCAGCGUCAUUGUCUUGUGUACUGUACAGUACACUGUAUUUGCACUUGAUGACUUGACUGACAGUCACUCUAUUUGUUUGGUUUCUAACUUCCAAAGAGGUUACCUGUCAGGCAUUGGACCCAGGCUGUGUUUCCAAGUGUGAAGUCCAGCCUCUCUGUGCACUGCAGCCUAACCUGAAAUCUCCAGUGAUGCUGCUGUGGCAGUGGAGACUUUUUAUUUUUUUUUUAUUUCACCUUUAUUUAACCAGGUAGGCAAGUUGAGAACAAGUUCUCAUUUACAAUUGCGACCUGGCCAAGAUAAAGCAAAGCAGUUCGACAGAUACAACGACACAGAGUUACACAUGUAGUAAAACAAACAUACAGUCAAUAAUACAGUAUAAACAAGUCUAUAUACAAUGUGAGCAAAUUAGGUGAGAAGGGAGGUAAAGGCAAAAAAGGCCAUGGUGGCAAAGUAAAUACAAUAUAGCAAGUAAAACACUGGAAUGGUAGUUUUGCAAUGGAAGAAUGUGCAAAGUAGAAAUAAAAAUAAUGGGGUGCAAAGGAGCAAAAUAAAUAAAUAAAUGAAAUACAGUUGGGAAAGAGGUAGUUGUUUGGGCUAAAUUAUAGGUGGGCUAUGUACAGGUGCAGUAAUCUGUAAGAUGCUCUGACAGUUGGUGCUUAAUGCUAGUGAGGGAGAUAAGUGUUUCCAGUUUCAGAGAUUUUUGUAGUUCGUUCCAGUCAUUGGCAGCAGAGAACUGGAAGGAGAGGCGGCCAAAGAAAGAAUUGGUUUUGGGGGUGACGAGAGAUAUACCUGCUGGAGCGUGUGCUACAGGUGGGAGAUGCUAUGGUGACCAGCGAGCUGAGAUAAGGGGGGACUUUGCCUAGCAGGGUCUUGUAGAUGACAUGGAGCCAGUGGGUUUGGCGACGAGUAUGAAGCGAGGGCCAGCCAACGAGAGCGUACAGGUCGCAAUGGUGGGUAGUAUAUGGGGCUUUGGUGACAAAACGGAUUGCACUGUGAUAGACUGCAUCCAAUUUGUUGAGUAGGGUAUUGGAGGCUAUUUUGUAAAUGACAUCGCCAAAGUCGAGGAUUGGUAGGAUGGUCAGUUUUACAAGGGUAUGUUUGAGAGCAUGAGUGAAGGAUGCUUUGUUGUGAAAUAGGAAGCCAAUUCUAGAUUUAACUUUGGAUUGGAGAUGUUUGAUAUGGGUCUGGAAGGAGAGUUUACAGUCUAACCAGACACCUAAGUAUUUGUAGUUGUCCACGUAUUCUAAGUCAGAGCCGUCCAGAGUAGUGAUGUUGGACAGGCGGGUAGGUGCAGGUAGCGAUGGGUUGAAGAGCAUGCAUUUAGUUUUACUUGUAUUUAAGAGCAAUUGGAGGCCACGGAAGGAGAGUUAUAUGGCAUUGAAGCUUGCCUGGAGGGUUGUUAACACAGUGUCCAAAGAAGGGCCGGAAGUAUACAGAAUGGUGUCGUCUGCGUAGAGGUGGAUCAGGGACUCACCAGCAGCAAGAGCGACCUCAUUGAUGUAUACAGAGAAGAGAGUCGGUCCAAGAAUUGAACCCCCAUAGAGACUGCCAGAGGUCCGGACAGCAGACCCUCCGAUUUGACACACUGAACUCUAUCAGAGAAGUAUUUGGUGAACCAGGCGAGGCAAUCAUUUGAGAAACCAAGGCUGUCGAGUCUGCCGAUGAGGACGUGGUGGUUGACAGAGUCGAAAGCCUUGGCCAGAUCAAUGAAUACGGCUGCACAGUAAUGUUUCUUAUCGAUGGCGGUUAAGAUAUCGUUUAGGACCUUGAGCGUGGGUGAGGUGCACCCAUGACCAGCUCUGAAACCAGAUUGCAUAGCAGAGAAGGUAUGGUGAGAUUCGAAAUGGUCGGUAAUCUGUUUGUUGACUUGGCUUUCGAAGACCUUAGAAAGGCAUGGUAGGAUAGAUAUAGGUCUGUAGCAGUUUGGGUCAAGAGUGUCCCCCCCUUUGAAGAGGGGGAUGACCGCAGCUGCUUUCCAAUCUUUGGGAAUCUCAGACGACACGAAAGAGAGGUUGAACAGGCUAGUAAUAGGGGUGGCAACAAUUUCGGCAGAUAAUUUAAGAAAGAAAGGGUCCAGAUUGUCUAGCCCGGCUGAUUUGUAGGGGUCCAGAUUUUUCAGCUCUUUCAGAACAUCAGCUGAAUGGAUUUGGGAGAAGGAGAAAUGGGGAAGGCUUGGGCGAGUUGCUGUUGGGGGUGCAGUGCUGUUGACCGGGGUAGGAGAAGCCAGGUGGAAAGCAUGGCCAGCCGUAGAAAAAUGCUUAUUGAAAUUCUCAAUUAUGGUGGAUUUAUCAGUGGUGACAGUGUUUCCUAUCUUCAGUGCAGUGGGCAGCUGGGAGGAGGUGUUCUUAUUCUCCAUGGACUUUACAGUGUCCCAGAACUUUUUGAGUUAGUGUUGCAGGAAGCAAAUUUCUGCUUGAAAAAGCUAGCCUUGGCUUUUCUAACUGCCUGUGUAUAACGGUUUCUAGCUUCCCUGAACAGCUGCAUAUCACGGGGGCUGUUCGAUGCUAAUGCAGAACGCCAUAGGAUGUUUUUGUGUUGGUUAAGGGCAGUCAGGUCUGGGGAGAACCAAGGGCUAUAUCUGUUCCUGGUUCUAAAUUUCUUGAAAGGGGCAUGUUUAUUUAAGAUGGUUAGGAAGGCAUUUAAAAAAAAUAUCCAGGCAUCCUCUACUGACGGGAUGAGAUCAAUAUCCUUCCAGGAUACCCCGGCCAGGUCGAUUAGAAAGGCCUGCUCGCUGAAGUGUUUCAGGGAGCGUUUUACAUUGAUGAGUGGAGGUCGUUUGACCGCUGACCCAUUACGGAUGCAGGCAAUGAGGCAGUGAUCGCUGAGAUCUUGGUUGAAGACAGCAGAGGUGUAUUUAGAGGGGAAGUUGGUUAGGAUGAUAUCUAUGAGGGUGCCCGUGUUUAAGGCUUUGGGGGGGUACCUGGUAGGUUCAUUGAUAAUUUGAGUGAGAUUGAGGGCAUCAAGUUUAGAUUGUAGGAUGGCUGGGGUGUUAAGCAUGUUCCAGUUUAGGUCGCCUAGCAGCACGAGCUCUGAAGAUAGAUGGGGGGCAAUCAGUUCACAUAUGGUGUCCAGAGCACAGCUGGGGGCAGAGGGUGGUCUAUAGCAGGUGGCAACGGUGAGAGACUUGUUUUUAGAGAGGUGGAUUUUUAAAAGUAGAAGUUCAAAUUGUUUGGGUACAGACCUGGAUAGUAGGACAGAACUCUGCAGGCUAUCUUUGCAGUAGAUUGCAACACCGCCCCCUUUGGCAGUUCUAUCUUGUCUGAAAAUGUUGUAAUUUGGAAUUAUAAUUUCAGAAUUUUUGGUGGUCUUCCUAAGCCAGGAUUCAGACACAGCUAGAUCAUCCGGGUUGGCAGAGUGUGCUAAAGCAGUGAAUAGAACAAACUUAGGGAUGAGGCUUCUAAUGUUAACAUGCAUGAAACCAAGGCUAUUACGGUUACAGAAGUCAUCAAAAGAGAGCGCCUGGGGAAUAGGAGUGGAGCUAGGUACUGCAAGGCCUGGAUUCACCUCUACAUCGCCAGAGGAACAUAGGAGGAGAAGAAUAAGGGUACGGCUAAAAGCAAUAAGAAUUGGUCGUCUAGAACGUCUGGAACAGAGAGUAAAAGGAGGUUUCUGGGGGCGAUAAAAUAGCAUCAAGGUAUAAUGUACAGACAAAGGUAUGGUAGGAUGUGAACACAGUGGAGGUAAACCUAGGUAUUGAGUGAUGAAGAGAGAGAUAUUGUCUCUAGAAACAUCAUUGAAACCAGGAGAUGUCAUUGCAUGUGUGGGUGGUGGAACUAAUAAAUUGGAUAAGGUAUAGUGAGCAGGACUAGAGGCUCUACAGUGAAAUAAGCCAAUAAACACUAACCAGAACAGCAAUGGACAAGACAUAUUGGCAUUAAGGAGAGGCAUCCUUAGUCGAGUGAUCAAAAGAGUCCAGUGAGUGGAGUGGUUGGUUUGGGGGUCACGGCGAUUUAGACAGCUAGCCAGGACAUCGGUAGCAAGCUAGCAUAGGAUGGAGGUCUGUUGUUAGCCACCUCUUGCGUUCCGUCAGUAGAUUAGUGGGGUUCCGUGUGGUAGAGGGGAUUAGUCCAAAUCACACAACAACAAAAAUAAAAUAAAAACAAUAUAUAUAGUUAGAGGCCCAAGAAGAAACAGAAUAAUAAUAAAAAUAAAUAAAUUGUCAGAUUGUCUAUUCUGAGAGCAGCCGGUAAGACAGCUAACGGUUAGCAGGCCGCAGAUGGGCGUUCAGGUAACGUCGCGACGGAGGAGCCAGCCGGAUCUCCUUCGGGUAGAUAACGUCGGCAGUCCAGUUGUGAAGGCCCGGUGGGGCUCCGCGUAGGCAGUAAAACGGGUCCGGAUAGGUGACUGCAGCCCAGGAGUGAUUGACGGAGCUCAGGAGUGAUUGACGGAGCUGGCUAGCUCCGGAGUAAUUGAUGUUUGCUCCGGAAUCGACGAGAGCAGAUAGACACACGGAUAGCAGCUAGCUAGCUGUGAGAUCUGGGAAUGAAUGUCCAGAGAGCAGUUGAAAUCCAAGGACAUGGAGAGAAAAAUUGGUCCGGUAUGUUCCGAGCCGCGCUGCGCCGUACAAAACUGGCGAUAGAUUUUCGAGCUAAAGGAUAGCUGAUGACCAAAAACCGUGGUUAGCUGAAUACUAACGAUUUGCCAGUAAAGAAGCUAACUAGCUUCUGAACUAGCUUCUGAUUAGCUUCUAGCUAGCUCAUGGCUAGCUUCUGGUUAGUUUCUGGCUAGCUUCUUGGAGUUUCUGGCUAGCUUCUUGGAGGAUUGCAGAUUUGAGGUAAAUAAUACUUAUUUAUACAUAUAAAUUGGUGAGACGGGUUGCAGGAGAGUGUUUUGAAGAUGAGUUGAUGGAAAAUAAAAAUAAAAUGUAUGUGAAAAAAAGUUGUAAAUAUAUAUAUAUACAGGACACGACAAGACGAGGACAAAAGACGUCUGAACUGCUAUGCCAUCUCGGGCAGCACUUUAACUGUUACAAGGACAGACCAUGGGGCUACCUGGAGAGCGAAGAGUACAUAGAGCACUAUGGAACCAGUCCAGUGUGGUCUAACUACAGGAGGAACCAGAAAGGAGGGAUUCCCCCUCAGAAGACAUGCAAUACCUGCAUUGUAGGUGUAACAGCUGUGGUUCUGUAACCUUGCCUGAGACCUGGAGACUUGUGGUAGCUCUCCAAGCUAUUGUCUAGGCUUUUUUGGAGAGUGCACAGAUAUUCAGAGGAGGUCGACCAUGAUGCUGUCUGCUCUGUGUUAGGCUAUGUAACUCCAUAUUAUUAUUAUAUUCUCCACCAAACAGUCACGAGUUCGUACUGUUAGGUGACCUAAACUGGGAUAUGCUUAACACUCCGGCCGUCCUACAAUCUAAGCUUGAUGCCCUCAAUCUCACACAAAUGAUCAAGGAACCUACCAGGUACAACCCCAAAUCUGUAAACAUGGGCACCCUCAUAGAUAUCAUCCUGACCAACCUGCCCUCUAAAUACACCUCUGCUGUCUUCAACCAGGAUCUCAGUGAUCACAAGCUAUUCAAUGUUAUGUUUGGUAAGCAAUGGACCAUUGUCUUUCUGCAGAAUGUGAAGCUGCUGCAAAAUUUUAAACGCCCAUAUACAGGCGUUGUGUAUGACCCCACGCGGACAGGUAAGAUGGUUUCUAUUUAUGUAAUGUGAAUACAAUUCUAUGAAUUCAUCUGAAUCAACCAUGCUGAAUUCAGCAAGUGUUAUCUAAAUGCUUGCUGGUUUCAUCGAAAUAAGUUGUCUUUGAUUAAAUGAAUUUACACACUUGACACAGCCAAGAAUCUGAGACUGCCAAUAGGUGUUUUAGUGAUAAACCUUUCUGCAUAAAGUAACAUCUGUUUUUUUGUGAGGUUUGAGGUAACCAAAGUGGCACAUUUAUAUUGUUAUUCUACAUUUUUAUCCAGGAGAGUCAGAAACAGAAAAAUUAACUCAUUCAGGCAAUUGGCACUGCAAGAGACCAUGGUAAGUUCAGCCUCUGUGACUAAGGAGCAGAAUGCUACAGCAGUACAGUAAUGAAGAAUUACAUUUUUUUGUGACCAGUGCAGCGGUUCAACAAUGCCACCAAAAGAGAAACUGCAGUUCCCUACAGUACAUAAAUAUUGUCCAUAUUUCCAGGGCUGCUACCCUUCUAGGUUCCUCAUGUGGACUUUUCAGAGGAGGACUAUUCCAACUCCCACUACGCAGUUGGCUGGUCAUUUAUGAACAUUUGAACAUCUUGGCCACGUUCUGUUAUAGUCUCCACCCGGCACAGCCAGAAGAGGACUGGCCACCCCACAUAGCCUGGUUCCUCUCUAGGUUUCUUCCUAGGUUUUGGCCUUUCUAGGGAGUUUUUCCUCAUGUGGACUUUUCAGAGGAGGACUAUUCCAACUCCCACUACGCAGUUGGCUGGUCAUUUAUGAACAUUUGAACAUCUUGGCCACGUUCUGUUAUAGUCUCCACCCGGCACAGCCAGAAGAGGACUGGCCACCCCACAUAGCCUGGUUCCUCUCUAGGUUUCUUCCUAGGUUUUGGCCUUUCUAGGGAGUUUUUCCUAGCCACCAUGCUUCUACACCUGCAUUGCUUGCUGUUUGGGGUUUUAGGCUGGGUUUCUGUACAACACUUUGAGAUAUUAGCUGAUGUACGAAGGGCUAUAUAAAUAAAAUUUGAUUUGAUUUGGCUCGGCCCCUCCUCCCCCCACCAUGACCCCUUGGUACAGGUGGUACCACACCAUACAGCCAGACGAGACUGAAGUGGCUCAAGUCAAGAAGACCAACAAGGCGCAUUUGACAUAGGCCCUAGUCUAUCAGAGGAAUCAUGGUAAAAUUAUUUUUUGUGAUAUAAUUUGGGCUUUCUGGAAGUAGUAGAGCAAGUUUUAAAGAUGCACUAUGCAGAAAUCACUCCACCAUUUCCUGGUUGCUAAAAUUCUAAUAGUUUGCCUAAUUUCAGUUUGUGACAAAACAAGCAAGUAUAGUGUAAAGAAUCAUUACACCAUCUAAACCGCAGUGUGAAAUAUUUUCCAUAACCAAAAAUAUUGUAUUUUCAGAUGGUGUACAAAAACAAGACGAUAAAAGUAAACUUAAGCAUAGAAAUAGUGCUCAGAACAUAUUACUGCUUCUUGGACUUGCUUUCAAUGAGUGACAGAUCUACAACUCAUAUUUUCUGUUAAUUUGUUCAGGUCGCACUAAAAGUUAUAGAAUAUUGUUUAUGGCAAUAUUGCUUUUGGGAGAGUUUUGCUAAAACAUGUCACAGAUCACUGAUUCAUGCCAGACACUUUUCACGGGCUACAACUAAAAAUCUAAUUGUAUUUGUCACAUACUUUGUAAACAACCAGUGUAGACUAACAGUGAAAUGCUUACAUCUACUUUGUGCAUGACACAAGUCAUUUUUCCAAUAAUUGUUUACAGACAGAUUGUAUCACAAUUCCAGUGGGUCAGAAGUUUACAUACGCUAAGUUGACUGUGCCUUUGAACAGCUUGGAAAAUUCCAACAAAUUAUGUCAUGGCUUUAGAAGCUUCUGAUAGGCUAAUUUACAUAAUUUGAGUCAAUUGGAGGUGUACCUGUAGAUGUAUUUCAAGGCCUACCUUCAAACUCAGUGCCUCUGCUUGACAUCAUGUGGAAAUCAGCCAAGACCUCUGAAAAAAAAUGUAACCCCCCACAAGUCUGGCUCAUCCUUGGAAGCAAUUUCCAAACCACGUUCAUGUGUACAAACAAUAGUACACAAGUAUCAUGGGACCACACAGCCAUCAUACCGCUCAGGAAGGACACGCGUUCUGUCUCCUUGAGAUGAACGUACUUUGGUGCGAAAAGUACCAGACUACAGUUUGCAACUGUACAUGGGGACAAAGAUCAUACUUUUUGGAGAAAUGUCCUCUGGUCUAAUGAAACAAAAAUAACUGUUUAGCCAUAAUGACCAUCAUGUUUGGAGGAAAAAGGGGGAGGCUUGCAAGACGAAGAACACCAUCCCAACCGUGAAGCACGGGGGUGGCAGCAUCAUGUUUGGGGGUGCUUUGCUGCAGGAGGGACUGGCGCAAUUUACAAAAUAGAUGGCAUCAUGAGGGAGAAAUGAUGUGGAAAUAUUGAAGCAACAUCAAGACGUCAGUCAGGAAAUGGGUAUUCCAAAUGGACAAUGACCCCAGGCAUACUUCCAAAGUUGUGGCUAAAUGGCUUAAGGACAACAGUCACGGUGUUGGAGGGCCAUCACAAAGCCCUGACCUCAAUCCUAUGGAAAAUUUGUGGGCAGAACUGAAAAAGUGUGUGUGAGCAAGGAGGCCUACAAAUCUGACUCAGUUACACCAGCUCUGUCAGGAGGAAUGGGCCAAAAUUCACCCACCUUAUUGUGGGAAGCUUGUGGAAGGCUACCUGAAAUGUUUGACCCAAGUCAAACAAUUUAAAGGCAAUGCUACCAACUACUAAUUGAGUGAGUGUAUGUAAACUCUGACCCACUGGGAAUGUGAUGAAAGAAAUAAAAGCUGAAAUCACUAUUAUUGACAUUUCACAUUAAAGUGGUGAUCCUAACUUAAGACUUAAGACAGGGAAUUUUUCUAGUAUUAAAUGUCAGGAAUUGUGAAGAUUAGUUUAAAUGUAUUUGGCUAAGGUGUAUGGAAACUUCCUACUUCUACUGUGUGUAGAGGUAAAGUGACUACAACAGGAUGACUGAUAAGUGAAUAAUCAGCUCAUGUACAUGAGAAAUCUGUCUAAUCUGUUCUACAUCUAUGCUCAAUGUUUAAUAUUUAGAGACAAGUUGUACAAUAGACAUUAAGAUGCAAAAUCCAUUUAUUUAAUUGCCUUUUUGUCUGUAGUAAAUACUUAAUCAUA